rnacentral:rRNA from 1 species
CCUACGGGAGGCAGCAGUGAGGAAUAUUGGUCAAUGGUCGGGAGACUGAACCAGCCAAGCCGCGUGAGGGAGGAAGGUACAGAGUAUCGUAAACCUCUUUUGUCAGGGAACAAAGGCGGGGACGUGUCCCCGGAUGAGUGUACCUGAAGAAAAAGCAUCGGCUAACUCCGUGCCAGCAGCCGCGGUAAUACGGAGGAUGCGAGCGUUAUCCGGAUUUAUUGGGGUUAAAGGGUGCGCAGGGGGUUUGUUAAGUCAGGGGUCAAAGGCCGGGGCGCAACCCCGGCCCCGCCGUUGAAACUGGCAGUCUCGAGUUGGAGAGAAGUAUGCGGAAUGCGCGGUGUAGCGGUGAAAUGCAUAGAUAUCGCGCAGAACUCCGAUUGCGAAGGCAGCAUGCCGGCUCCACACUGACGCUGAGGCACGAAAGCGUGGGUAUCGAACAGGAUUAGAUACCCUAGUAGUC